GGAGCUGGGAUCAUGUCAGCCUCAUUCACUGCAUUUAUAUGUUGGCUGAAUGCAUUGGAAACUUCACCAGCCACAAAAACCUACAAAAGAAGGUAAAUUACUGUCUUUAAAUAUUUAAAAAAAAAACAAGAUCCAUGAGUGGGCAUCGAUCAACAAGGAAAAGAUGUGGAGAUUCUCACCCGGAGUCCCCAGUGGGCUUCGGGCAUAUGAGUACUACAGGAUGUGUAUUAAAUAAAUUGUUUCAGUUACCAACACCACCAUUGUCAAGACACCAACUAAAGCGGCUAGAAGAACACAGAUAUCAAAGUGCUGGACGGUCCCUGCUUGAGCCCUUGAUGCAAGGGUAUUGGGAGUGGCUCGUUAGAAGAGUUCCCUCCUGGAUUGCCCCAAAUCUCAUCACCAUCAUUGGACUGUCAAUAAACAUCUGUACAACUAUUUUAUUAGUCUUCUACUGCCCUACAGCUACAGAGCAGGCACCUCUGUGGGCAUAUAUUGCUUGUGCCUGUGGCCUUUUCAUUUACCAGUCUUUGGAUGCUAUUGAUGGGAAACAGGCAAGAAGAACCAAUAGUAGUUCUCCUCUGGGAGAACUUUUUGAUCAUGGUUGUGAUUCACUAUCAACAGUUUUUGUGGUUCUUGGAACUUGUAUUGCAGUGCAGCUGGGGACAAACCCUGAUUGGAUGUUUUUUUGUUGUUUUGCGGGGACAUUUAUGUUCUAUUGUGCGCACUGGCAAACGUAUGUUUCUGGAACAUUGCGAUUUGGAAUAAUUGAUGUGACUGAGGUGCAAAUCUUCAUAAUAAUCAUGCAUUUGCUGGCAGUGAUUGGAGGACCACCUUUUUGGCAAUCUAUGAUUCCAGUGCUGAAUAUUCAAAUGAAAAUUUUUCCUGCACUUUGUACUGUAGCAGGGACCAUAUUUUCCUGUACAAAUUACUUCCGUGUAAUCUUCACAGGUGGUGUUGGCAAAAAUGGAUCAACAAUAGCAGGAACAAGUGUCCUUUCUCCUUUUCUCCAUAUUGGAUCAGUGAUUACAUUAGCUGCAAUGAUCUACAAGAAAUCUGCAGUUCAGCUUUUUGAAAAGCAUCCCUGUCUUUAUAUACUGACAUUUGGUUUUGUGUCUGCUAAAAUCACUAAUAAGCUUGUGGUUGCACACAUGACGAAAAGUGAAAUGCAUUUGCAUGACACAGCAUUCAUAGGUCCGGCACUUUUGUUUCUGGACCAGUAUUUUAACAGCUUUAUUGAUGAAUAUAUUGUACUUUGGAUUGCCCUGGUUUUCUCUUUCUUUGAUUUGAUCCGCUACUGUGUCAGUGUUUGCAAUCAGAUUGCGUCUCACCUGCACAUACAUGUCUUCAGAAUCAAGGUCUCUACAGCUCAUUCUAAUCAUCAUUAAUGAUGUAAUUGGUAUAUAGGAACACCAUGUUUUCUGCAGGAAAGAAUCUGAACAUAUUAAGGAGAAUGGGGGUGGAUAAGAACAAAUAUAAUUUAUAAUAAUCAAUGUUGUAUAACUUUUAUUCUUUAUUAUUGGUAACACUCCCUAACUAUCCUGUGUGAGAAUGGGAAUUUCAAGUCCCAUCUUGUAAAUUGUAUAUGUUGUCAUGCAGGGUUUGGGCCAAGAAAGCAUGUAGAAAAAAAUGCCAUGUGAUUGUAAUUAUCCUGGAUUCAGAAUAAUAUUGUGAUGGGGAGCCAGAUCCGCAGUGGUGGAGAGUUCUAAUGUUGACUGUUUGCAGGCCAAAAGAUGAUUGCUUUAUAAUUUUAACAAAUGAUUGUCUUUUAGUAACAUCCUUGUUUAGUGUCUUCUCAAGCUUUCUUUACUAAGGAAUUCAGCUUGUGACACAGAUACAUCCCACUAGCUUGUGAGGUGGAACUAGUAGUAAAGACCCUGAAUUUGGAUUGAAAGGUUUCCUAUCUUUACAUUGUUGAGGAAGUCCUUUUUUUUUUUUUUUUUUUUUUUUUUUAAUUGCUCAAGAAAUGAUUCUCUCACAGGCUUGGGAAAUCCUGUUAGCAUGCAGAAUAAUGUGGUAACUUUGUCAAUUUCCCAUUUUAUUUUUUUAAAUAAAUAUAUGAUCUGAAAGCCAACUUUUUCUCAGUUUUAUUCAGUGGAAAGAUAAACUAAGUUUUAAUGUUAUUUUUUUAAAUUUAAGCAAAAUUUAUUUCUGUUCUUUAAUAAGAAAAUUUGGUCCACUG
rnacentral:sRNA from 1 species